AUGCUUUUUAAAGUAAGGUUUAAUAAUUACAAUUUACUACUCUCUCUCUCUCUCUCUCUCUCUCUCUCUCUCUCAUGCUUUAAAUUGGGCAAACCUAAUAUAUUUUUUUUUUUUUUUUUUUUUUUUUUUUUUUUUUUUUUUUUUUUUUUUUUUUUUUUUUUUUUUUUUUUUUUUUUUUUUUUUUUUUUUUUUUUUUUUUUUUUUUUUUUUUUUUUUUUUUUUUUUUUUUUUUUUUUUUUUUUUUUUUUUUUUUUUUUUUUUUUUUUUUUUUUUUUUUUUUUUUUUUUUUUUUUUUUUUUUUUUUUUUUUUUUUUUUUUUUUUUUUUUUUUUUUUUUUUUUUUUUUUUUUUUUUUUUUUUUUUUUUUUUUUUUUUUUUUUUUUUUUUUUUUUUUUUUUUUUUUUUUUUUUUUUUUUUUUUUUUUUUUUUUUUUUUUUUUUUUUUUUUUUUUUUUUUUUUUUUUUUUUUUUUUUUUUUUUUUUUUUUUUUUUUUUUUUUUUUUUUUUUUUUUUUUUUUUUUUUUUUUUUUUUUUUUUUUUUUUUUUUUUUUUUUUUUUUUUUUUUUUUUUUUUUUUUUUUUUUUUUUUUUUUUUUUUUUUUUUUUUUUUUUUUUUUUUUUUUUUUUUUUUUUUUUUUUUUUUUUUUUUUUUUUUUUUUUUUUUUUUUUUUUUUUUUUUUUUUUUUUUUUUUUUUUUUUUUUUUUUUUUUUUUUUUUUUUUUUUUUUUUUUUUUUUUUUUUUUUUUUUUUUUUUUUUUUUUUUUUUUUUUUUUUUUUUUUUUUUUUUUUUUUUUUUUUUUUUUUUUUUUUUUUUUUUUUUUUUUUUUUUUUUUUUUUUUUUUUUUUUUUUUUUUUUUUUUUUUUUUUUUUUUUUUUUUUUUUUUUUUUUUUUUUUUUUUUUUUUUUUUUUUUUUUUUUUUUUUUUUUUUUUUUUUUUUUUUUUUUUUUUUUUUUUUUUUUUUUUUUUUUUUUUUUUUUUUUUUUUUUUUUUUUUUUUUUUUUUUUUUUUUUUUUUUUUUUUUUUUUUUUUUUUUUUUUUUUUUUUUUUUUUUUUUUUUUUUUUUUUUUUUUUUUUUUUUUUUUUUUUUUUUUUUUUUUUUUUUUUUUUUUUUUUUUUUUUUUUUUUUUUUUUUUUUUUACUGUAGUGAAGUUCCAAAAUUUGCAUAUGCCUACACAAUGCGCAUUACAAUUGUGGAAUAUGAAUAUUUAAACAAAUAA
rnacentral:lncRNA from 12 species